GACGUAGGGCGCGAGCGUUGUCCGGAUUAUUGGGCGUAAAGAGCUCGUAGGCGGCUUGUCGCGUCGAAUGUGAAAUCUCAGGGCUCAACUCUGACAUUGCAUUCGAUACGGGCAGGCUCGAGUUCGGUAGGGGAGACUGGAAUUCCUGGUGUAGCGGUGAAAUGCGCAGAUAUCAGGAGGAACACCGGUGGCGAAGGCGGGUCUCUGGGGCCGAUGACUGACGCUGGAGGAGCGAAAAGCGUGGGGGAGCGAACAGG
rnacentral:rRNA from 1 species